GACGGGUAUCCGGCCUGAGAGGGUGAUCGGACACACUGGAACUGAGACACGGUCCAGACUCCUACGGGAGGCAGCAGUAGGGAAUAUUGCUCAAUGGGCGAAAGCCUGAAGCAGCAACGCCGCGUGGAGGAUGAAGGUUUUAGAAUUGUAAACUCCUUUUCUAAGAGAAGAUUAUGACGGUAUCUUAGGAAUAAGCACCGGCUAACUCCGUGCCAGCAGCCGCGGUAAUACGGAGGGUGCAAGCGUUACUCGGAAUCACUGGGCGUAAAGAGCGCGUAGGCGGGGUAGCAAGUCAGAUGUGAAAUCCUAUGGCUUAACUAUAGAACUGCAUUUGAAACUGUUACUCUA
rnacentral:rRNA from 1 species